rnacentral:rRNA from 1 species
UACGGAGGGUGCGAGCGUUGUCCGGAAUCACUGGGCGUAAAGGGCGCGUAGGCGGCGCGGGAAGUCCGUGGUGAAAGCCCGAGGCUCAACUUCGGGUCGGCCAUGGAUACUCCUGGGCUCGAGCACUGUAGAGGCAGGUGGAAUUCCGGGUGUAGCGGUGGAAUGCGUAGAGAGUCCGGAAGAACACCGGUGGCGAAGGCGGGUCACUGGGCCGAUUACUGGACGCUGAGG